rnacentral:tRNA from 1 species
AGCGGGGUGGGGAAGCCAGGUAUCCCGCGGGGCUCAUAACCCCGAGGUCGGUGGUUCGAAUCCACCCCCCGCUACCA